CCUGCUUUCUCUCUGAAUAUAUAUAAGGCAACCCUAGCUAAAAAAAGUAAAAUACCAGGAAUCUCGUGUUAAAUGUUUUUUAGAAAAUCACUGCUAACAGCGAUGAGCGCCAAAGUUCUACAGAGGGACAUCUUGUGGCCUGUUUAAGGAGGAACAGCGUCAUGACCUUGGGCUAAAUGACGCACCCAACACGCAGGAGUCCUUCCGCUGCAGCAUCCUGCUGCUCCUGCUGAAGCCAGGUUGAGCCAGUACACCAGCCUACACCCAGCCCACAGCCAGACUCUGCUAUGGUGUCAUUUCCUCCACCUCCUCUGAACCCUCCGGCUUCAGUCCUGAAUUGUCAGGAGGAUUGUGAAGAGCCCACCAGAGAACCAGACUCUGUUGUUUCGUCACCUCCUUCACCUCUCCUCUAAUCAGCACGGAGCAGGACGACCUGACCGUCAGCCAGGAAGAAGCCAAAAUGAAGAGUGAGAGUGGAAACUGAGGCUUGUCUGGCUGGCUCAGAACAACUCUCGGCUGCUGUUUCUGCUUUUAAUACACAGACUGAGGCUCUUGCUCAGCUGGUUUAUUCCUUUCUUUUUUUUUCCUUGUUACUCAUAAAAGUAAAUAAAUAAAUAGCUUGCAUCAGUUUCACUUAUUGUGAAUUAAAGCAACAUAUAAGACAUUUUCAAACAGGAAGUGUAAGUUGCAUUCACCGUAUGUUACAGUACAGUACAAGCUUGGUCCUUAUGAAGGCCAGACAUAAAAUCAAAUAAAACAACCAGAUACUGGAGUUAUGAGACAGUGUUGAUAUUUGAGAGUUCUAAAUGUACAAUAAUGAUAGAUGCACACAUAACCUAAACAUUUUUGACCGUGUGUACUGAGUAGGGCAUUUUAGUAUCUAAAAAGAAAUGUGUCAAUCCUCUCUAGUGGACAAACUAUGUAACAGCAACACUGUUUCUAAGUGAUCUUGAAUGUGUCUCUGUACAUUUCUGUACUGCAGUGUCUCACUGACCUGACAGCUAACACAUACUCGAUAUCAGUUUGUCAGUCUAGCUCUAAUUUAAUAGACCAAAAAACAAAACAAAUGAGCUGGAGCAGGUGCAGGGACAUGGUUUGUAAAAUAAAGCUUUUACUGUAUCCGCAUACUGACUAGUUUUAUCUUCCUGCUUUCAAACAUAAGCAAAGUGGAAAAACACAGCUGUUGAGGCGUUUUAUGAUUUUACAUUACAGCAGUGCCAAUGCACAGCCAAAGAGCUCAGGUGACGUUGAUCAUUAUUCUGAUCAUUCCCUUUCAGUUCACGGUGGUUGGAAAAAGCAUUCAUGUAAUUGGUAUGUUUGUUUGCUGGCUAUGGCAUCCUGUUGAAAGCCUUUUUAACUGUCACACAUCAUGAGUCACUGACUGCUGCAGUACAAGUUGAUGCAUGACAACUCCUGCUCAUCACAUGACUCCUGACAGCUGCAGUAUGCUGCUUUGUGAACCCAAGAGGAGGAAGUCCUUCAGGAAGACUUCAAAAUGAUUUUUUUCCAUCAUCAGAAACAUAUGAAACAAGAUCCUAAACAGUGUCUUCAUAUUUCUGGUGAAAAUCAGACAUUUAUUGUAAAUGCAUCCCACCACUAGCAGACAAAAGAUUUGUCCAACACGAGAACAACAUGUAUUGUUUAGUUUAAUUUGUACAGAAAAAGAAAUGUAGAGGGGAGUUAAGACUUGUAGCUUUCUCUUGGCAAACAGCUGACUUCUCUCGAGACUGCAGGAAGUCACUGCACCCAGCAAGGAAAUACUUACAACAUGCGACACAUGCGGUGUGUAAGUUUGGACAGAGCCACACAAGCUAUCUAAUGCAGUCUUUAUGCUAAGCCAAGCUAACCACCUGGCUCUAGCGUCAUAGCAACUGCACAGACAUGAUAGUGGUAUGGAGCUUCUCUUGAACUCUCAACAAGAGCACCAAUAAGCCUAAUUUUCAAAAUGUGGAGCUCUUCCAGACAAAUACUAUGGACCCAGAGGUGCAUGAUACAUCACCAAGAGUUAUGUGACAACAGUGUUUCCAUGUUGUGAAAUGGAUUUCUCCUUGAAGCAGUAUUUUUUUGUUGCAAAUUAAACCUUACUUGUGUUCAUCAAAGCGUCAGUGGGUAUGUUUCCCCUGAAAUACAGAGCAAAGUGAGAAUCGUAUGACAAUAAUCUAUCAUAGAGGGAAGUGUGGGAAAUACUGAACACAUGUCCAAACAGUGUCUAUUCAUUCAUAAUCAAUAUUGAGCGAUUACAUUUACUAUCACCAUAAUUACAUAUUUUUUUAAUAUUCUCUGGGGUUUUUUUGUAACGUGAAGUCUAUGAUGGUAACAGGCUCAGACCUGUUUGAUGCUGUGAGUGUGCCCUUGAAUACAACGGUGUCUUGUACCGAGGAGUGUGGGAGUGUGUUUCAUAUCUGCUGCAGUGACGAUAUCACUUGUUGGCGAAGACAGACACUAAUAAAUUUCAUUUUAC